rnacentral:rRNA from 1 species
UACGGGGGGGGCAAGCGUUGUUCGGAAUUACUGGGCGUAAAGGGCUCGUAGGCGGCCAACUAAGUCGGACGUGAAAUCCCUCGGCUUAACCGGGGAACUGCGUCUGAUACUGGAUGGCUUGAGUUCGGGAGAGGGAUGCGGAAUUCCAGGUGUAGCGGUGAAAUGCGUAGAUAUCUGGAGGAACACCGGUGGCGAAGGCGGCAUCCUGGACCGAUACUGACGCUGAGGAGCGAAAGCCAGGGGAGCAAACGGG